rnacentral:rRNA from 1 species
UACAGAGGGUGCGAGCGUUAAUCGGAAUUACUGGGCGUAAAGCGCACGCAGGUGGCUGAGUCAGUCGAUUGUGAAAGCCCUGGGCUUAACCUGGGAAUUGCAGUCGAUACUACUCAGCUAGAGUAUGGGAGAGGGCAGUGGAAUUCCCGGUGUAGCGGUGAAAUGCGUAGAUAUCGGGAGGAACAUCAGUGGCGAAGGCGGCUGCCUGGCCCAAUACUGACACUCAGGUGCGACAGCGUGGGGAGCAAACAGG